rnacentral:tRNA from 1 species
UGGGGAUUGGUGUAACGGUAGCACGAGUGACUCUGACUCACUUAGUCUAGGUUCGAAUCCUAGAUCCCCAAC